CUCUGAAACCUAGAGCCACAUGUCAGUUUAUAGAACCAUUUUGUGGGCAUAAAAUACAUCUGCGACAGAUAGUAGCACAGUUUGUGAAACUUGAAGCAGAGGUGAUUAAAGAAUAAAUUGGCUAAAAGGA
rnacentral:sRNA from 12 species